ensembl:lncRNA
UUUUUUUCUUUUUUAUUUUUUUUGGACCAUUUCUCCUGAAAUGAAUGAUAACCAAUUUAAUAAAUAACAAACAGCCCCAGAAGGGCUUUUUUGCUGUUUCCAGGGGAAUCCAGCCAUGCUGGUUUGAACCACUAGGGUUUUUCUUUCCAUAAGGCUUCAAUAGCUCUCAUUAGAAAUAUGAGACUUUGGGGUUGGCCAGAAGGCAGACAAAGACUGAACCUUAAUCUCUUGGGCAGUGACCUCCAUUGACUUCUCCUGGUGGACAGAUGGAGUUCAGUCCACGGGCACUGCUAGAUCAUUCAAGAAGAGGGACAAUCAGUUGUUGCCCUUAGUAGUGACAUUUGUGUUAUCUCCCAGCAUAGUUCCAGGGGGACUUGGUGCCAAGUUCAGGAAAGGAGGCCCGUAAAAUAUGAAAAAGAAGUCCUACGAGAGACCCAUGAACAAGCACUGGCUCAGAGAGAGAUGCGGGGGACAGAGUGGAGCNCUUGGGCAGGGGAAGAGGGGCUCUGGGACAAUGCUUACCCAGAUUAGGAUUAGAUGAAAGGUGGACCAGGGCAGAGGUUGGCACAUGAUCAGAGGGGGAAGUCAACAGAACAGAGACCAAGGAGGAGCUCAGGGGAAAGAACAGAACCUGAAAGUGGGUCUGAUGUCAGGACCUCCUCAGAGAGUGAGAGGCAGGCCCCACAGGGAGAGUGGAGCUCAGACCAGAUGUAGUGGAACAAGAUGGUCCAGAUGAGGGCCCUCUGACCACACUGCCACUUUUCUCUCUUCCCCUCCUUCUUAAAGGAGCCGUGCACAGAUUCUGGAACAUUUAGAACGAGAGGUAUUAGAGUCGCCAUUGAACCAUUAGUCCUGGGUCUUGGGUAGGGAGCUGAGGAAGGAGUGAUGCUCUACUAUAGGAUCUGUGGACUAUUCAGGGACAGAAGAGGGAACAGAAAUGACACUCUCUGGGGGAGAGGCACCAGACCUCAAAUUCAGAUGAAGUAAGGCCGCCUGAUCAAAAGCCACAGUGGAACAGCAACUGCAGAUGCUCAGAGGCUGGGGAGGAGGGAGACUUGUCCCUUUGCUUUCAGAGAAGACUGACAGGGUCCCCAGGAGACCACAACUCAGUGUAGCAGGGAACAGCCGGGAACAGAAGGGAAGGGUUUGGGAAGCUGUAAGCGCUGAGAGGAAAGAUCAGUCAUCCUUUAUGGCCGCGGAUGUCCUUUCCCCUGGUCCUGAUGUGACCUGUGAACUUAAGAUCACAUAUAUGCCUGCCGUGGAGGCCAAUCUCCACUCUUGGAGCAUAGAUUUGAGAUUUGCAAAGAGUCCAAAGUCUUUUGGAGGCAACCACAGUGAAUAACGUGGAUGACCAAGGUGGAUGAUAUCACAUUUUGGCCAGUGACCACUUUUUGGGGGCAAUGGUCAUAUUUCUAACAAUAAAAACCCUGAGACUCGGAAAGAGUAAGUUUGUGUCCAAGAUCACGCAACAAAUCUGCUCUUAGCAUUGGUGUGGUUGAGUGGCAAGCCCAGCCUUUGAGUUUGGAGGAUGGUUCAACCUGUCCCUUUCUAUACCUAUCAAAUAAAGAUGCAAAUGCCCAUCUCAUAGCAUUGUUCUAAGGGUGUAACAAGAUGGUACAAAGAAAGGGUUUGGUCCCACACUGGCCACAUCAAUGGUACUACAAAACGCUAGGACUUUUUCUUCCUGAUACACUGGCCUGAGCCAGAGGGGGACUCUUUUCGUGCAGCAUAAACUCUCUGGAAUGCUUCAGAAUUUCUACAUUACAAGCCUGGUUGCAUGUUCGACCUUCUGGAAUGAUUUCUGUGUGAACAAUGUUAUUGAUGUCAAUGAAAUAAAUCAACAUUAUCUCUCCUUUUGGUCUUGGCGCACAUUUUGUGUGGUCUGAGAGAGAUUGAAAUUCUCCAUGGCGUGUGUGGGUUCUUAGCUUCCAGCUCACAGCAGAAAUGGCAACAGCAGUGAACACCUGAUCAGACCCCUACUCUGCGGCAGAUAUUAAACUAUGAUUUGCAUAAAAUCUUCCGUAACCCUUCCAGCAGGCCUGUGACGUAGGAAUCCUAGCUCCCACUUCCUAGAGGAGGAAAGCAAGGUUCAAGAAGUAAAUUAACUUAACGAUGAUUCCCUGGCUGGUUGUGGUAGAGACCAGAGUUAAUCCUCAGGGCCUCGGGUGCUAAUAUCGACACUCUUUUUCAAUAGCACACUCUAUCCCAAGUUAACAUUUUAUCUCAAAAUGUAUCAUUUCAUUUGUCUUCUUCUUCUUCUUCUUUUUUUUAAAGGCAGAAAUAAAUUCCAAGACCUUGCUGUUUCUCUUCAUCAUCAAAGGACAUAGCAAAAGUUGUAUAAAAACUUGGCUCCAGUUCAGAUUUCAUUCCAGAAUGAAUCUGUUCCUUUGUCUAAUUUUAACUCUUCAAGCAUCCUUCUUUCCGAAUGUGCUAAGUCUCUGACCUUUUCAGUACAUCCACUGGGCUGUUGGACAGCUGCUCCAUGUAUCACUGUGGGCAGCUUGACUUUGGUCUCAAAAUGUGGGUACUUUCACAAAAACAGGCUCUGGUAUUCCUCCAUCUGCCCGUGCCACUUUUAACGUGCCAAGGGUCCCACCUGCAGAGUUAUUUGCCCUCAUCCAAAAUGCGACUUCAAACUUUUGCUCAAACAUUAGCCACCGACUUUCAUGUCAACACAGGACACCACAGUCUUCUAGUUACUAAAGCUCCUUCUUCAAAGACAGAGUGAUCAACCCUGUUAUCAUAUAUAUAUUUUUUUCUUUUGUUUUUAGGUCCACCCUGUGGCAUGUGGAAGUUCCUGGGCUAGGGGUUGAACUGGAGCUACAGCUGCCAACCUACGCCACAGCCACAGCAACGCGGGAUCCCAGCCGCAUCUGUGAUGCACACCACAGC